AUUGAACGCUGGCGGCAGGCCUAACACAUGCAAGUCGAACGAGUGGCGGACGGGUGAGUAAUGUCUGGGAAACUGCCCGAUGGCGGGGGAUAACUACUGGAAACGGUAGCUAAUACCGCAUACCAUCGGAUGUGCCCAGAUGGGAUUAGCUAGUAGGUGGGGUAACGGCUCACCUGGGCGACGAUCCCUAGCUGGUCUGAGAGGAUGACCAGCCACACUGGAACGGAGAAACGGUCCAGAAUCCUAGGGGAGGCAGCAGUGGGGAAUAUUGCAAAAUGGGCGCAAGCCUGAUGCAGACAUGCCGCGUGUAUGAAGAAGGCCUUCGGGUUGUAAAGUACUUUCAGCGAGGAGGCGUUACUCGAAGAAGAAGCAACGGCUAACUCCGUGCCAGCAGCCGCGGUAAUUC
rnacentral:rRNA from 1 species